AUACGGGAGGCAGCAGUGGGGAAUUUUCCGCAAUGGGCGAAAGCCUGACGGAGCAAUACCGCGUGAGGGAGGAAGGCUCUUGGGUCGUAAACCUCUUUUCUCAGGGAAGAACACAAUGACGGUACCUGAGGAAUAAGCAUCGGCUAACUCCGUGCCAGCAGCCGCGGUAAUACGGAGGAUGCAAGCGUUAUCCGGAAUGAUUGGGCGUAAAGCGUCCGCAGGUGGCAAUGUAAGUCUGCUGUUAAAGAGUCUAGCUCAACUAGAUAAAAGCAGUGGAAACUACAUAGCUAGAGUACGUUCGGGGCAGAGGGAAUUCCUGGUGUAGCGGUGAAAUGCGUAGAGAUCAGGAAGAACACCGGUGGCGAAGGCGCUCUGCUAGGCCGUAACUGACACUGAGGGACGAAAGCUAGGGGAGCGAAUGGGCUUAGAUACCCUGGUAGU
rnacentral:rRNA from 1 species